CUCCCCUCAGCCCCAGCCAGCACAGCCAGUGGUCAGGGGUGAUGGGAACUGCAGCCCAGCAACAACAUGAGGGCUGUGGGUUCAUUGCCUCGGAACUUAAGCAAGAACGAAAUCAUACAAAAUUGUGCUUGAGCUUGCUUUUCCCUCCACCCUCCUGUGCCUUUUUCCUUGUGUGCCAUGUCUUGUUGGAAUGUGGUCCUGAGGGUAAGGACUGACUUAGUCUUAGUACUUAAUUCUGAAAGCUACUCUGGCAACUUCUUUUUUGUGGGGCAAGCCGGGAGGGGGGCGGGGGAGAGAACCAAAGGGUAUAAAUGUCACAGAUCAACAAUAAAUAAAUAAUGCUUCUGGAAAAUACUCAGGCCCCAUUGUGGCAUUGGCACGCUGGUGCAUUUGCCCCUGAAAAGAGUUCCCACAUGUUGGGGUUCCAUGUGCUUGUCCUAAUUUGGGGCAUCCUGAGAGUUUGGCCUCAGGAAUUGGGCUUGAGGACUAGAAUGAGCCUUCUGCAAUAUUGUUACACACUCCCUGCCCCCUGUUCUCCACAUCUAAUUAACACAAUCUAUUUCUUCUCCCCUCUACCCAGCACAUUUCAUUUUCUGCCCUAUAUAUGAGAGAUGCAGCCAAAUGAUGAGAUAUCAGUUGUUUUUUGUUGCUCAGACAUCACCAGUUAAACUGAGCUUCUCCCUUGAAGCUCAAAGAUCAGCAGGGAAAUAUUUACAGGAAAAUUCCUCCCAGGACCUUGAAAGAUUGAGUCAUGACAUCCCUCAAAGCACUGUCUGCAGCAACACCACAGCAGCACCCUGCCUGGAUGAUUUAUAGCUGAUGAGGAGGUUUCUUUUAAAGCUGGUUGCACCAACUUGGUGCCCUCCAGAUGUUUUAGACUAUAACUCCCAUCAGCCCCAGAAUGAGAGUUGUAGUCCAAACCAUCUGGAGGGCACCAGGUCAGCAGAGGCCGGUGUAAAGCCAGUGUGGUGUAGUGGUUAAGAGUGGUAGUCUUGUAAUCUGGGGAACCGGGUUCGUGUCUCCGCUCCUCCACAUGUAGCUGCUGGGUGACCUUGGGCUAGUCACACUUCUCUGAAGUCUCUCAGCCCCACUCACCUCACAGAGUGUUUGUUGUGGGGGAGGAAGGGAAAGGAGAAUGUUAGCUGCUUUGAGACUCCUUAGGGUAGUGAUAAAGCGGGAUAUCAAAUCCAAACUCCACUUCUUCUUCUUCUAAAGUGCCAACAGGCCACUGAACUUGCACUUAAGAAAGGAGAUUCUGGCCAAACUUUGGGAAGAUCUUCCUGACAAUGAGAGCUACUUGAUAAAGGAAUGGAUGACCUCAGAAGGUGGUGGACUCUUUGAAGGUUGGAGGGUCAUCUGCCAGGGAUGCUUUAGCUGUGAUUCCUGCCUUGCAGGAUGAUCCUUGGGGUCCCUUCCAACUCUACAAUUCUAGCAUUCAAGGAUUCAAAGACAAGCUUCCACAGCAUUUAUCCUAGGUAAGCAUCCACAGCCCAGAUGCUUGCAGCGAAUGCAUAGGAAGGUGGUGGCAGGGGGCAGGAUGAUCAGGCCCAAUCCCUUCUCCAGUUCCAUGUCGAUACAGCAAUCAGGGCCCUGUGCUGUUACAUGGUGGCAGGAAGGCCAGCUGAGGAUCCAGGAAUUUCUCUGCUAGCAUAGCCCUGCCACCUUCCCAUCCUCAAAGCACCUUGUCUCACAGCGUUUUGCUAGCCCUUGCCAAGCUGGUCUUUCCCUCCACAUUUGGCAGGUAGAAAGGGAAAGUGAGUUGGAUGGCCCUGGCGGAGUGUUAUUUAGACUAGAAUGAAGUAUAGAACCUGACAAAACAGGUGUGCUUGACCCUGGUCAUGUAUUUUUACAGCAAUCUGUGUCGUUCUGAAUGAGUUUCUCCUCUGGAUCUUUGGCUGAACGUCUCCCUGCUGUGUACAAGGCCUGACCUAAGGAAAACAAAAGCUCUCUGUUUAUUUCUCCUCAAAUUAUACACUGUUUUGGCUCAGGUUCCUUUAGUAAAGUCUUAUCAGCAUUUCCGUUCUCACUGUACUCUGUCAUAGUUAGUUAACAGACUGCAAACAAUCAUCAUGACUGCUGAACAUUCAUCACCUGCCUACAGUGUAGCUGGACAACAGCAGUUAAGUGUCAUCAGCUUUGCAUUUCUUUCAUAUAGAUAGAGAUUUCUGCCCCACCCCUUGCAAUGCUAGAUUCCCUUCCUGACUCCAGAAAUGGCUUACCCUGGGCUGUCAGUGAGAAAUUGUGUGCACCAGCUCAGCGAAGUGUGAAGCCAUCGUUUGUGCUUUGUUUAAUAACUGGGAGUGGGGAGAGAGAUUCUGCAGAAGAUAACAAUGGAGUGGAUUCGACUAUAACACCUGAAACAGAAAAGAGAGGCAGUCCUAAGGGGAGGGGUGAUGAUCACACCCCCAAUGCAAGCCCCCAC
rnacentral:lncRNA from 1 species